CGGGGCGUGGCGCAGCCUGGUAGCGCACCUGACUGGGGGUCAGGGGGUCAGAGGUUCAAAUCCUCUCGUCCCGACCA
rnacentral:tRNA from 1 species